rnacentral:rRNA from 1 species
UGAGGAAUAUUGGUCAAUGGGCGAGAGCCUGAACCAGCCAAAUCGCGUGAAGGAAGACUGCCUUAUGGGUUGUAAACUUCUUUUAUACAGGAAAUAAAAAAGGGGACGUGUCCUUAUUGCAUGUACUGUAUGAAUAAGCAUCGGCUAACUCCGUGCCAGCAGCCGCGGUAAUACGGAGGAUGCGAGCGUUAUCCGGAUUUAUUGGGUUUAAAGGGUGCAGCAGGCGGGCUUUAAGUCAGCGGUGAAAUCUCGGGGCUUAACUCCGAAACUGCCGUUGAAACUGGGAGUCUUGAGUAUGGAUGAAGUAGGCGGAAUUCGUUGUGUAGCGGUGACAUGCUUAGAUAUAACGAGGAACUCCGAUUGCGUAGGCAGCUUACUAAGCCAUAACUGACGCUCAAGCACGAAAGCGUGGGGAUCAAACAGGAUUAG